rnacentral:snoRNA from 1 species
CAGCUCUCCUGGGCUCGGUCCUCUCCACGUGGUCCCGACCGGCCCACAGCGAGCGAGAGAAAGGGACUGGUUUGGGGGUGUCCCACCCAAGUGGGCCUGGGCCACCACGGUUUCCGGUACGACA